AGGACGAUGACCUUCCCGGAAGUUUGAUAUAUCCAUCCACAUGUAUGAUAUACCUAUCCACCCUAUAUAAACCACAGAGUAACAACAGAUUUCUCAAGAAAAAUCCUCAAGCCAGAAAAAAAAAAUCUCUAGACCAUGUUUCGCCAAGCUGUCAUCUUGUCUUUGCUAGUAAUUCUAGCAAACAUUCAAGGCAACCAAGCUGUAGACUACACCGUCACCAAUACCGCCGGUUCGACAGCCGGUGGGGCACGCUUUGCUGCAGAAAUUGGGGAAGAUUACAGCAAGCAAAUGUCAUCAGCAGCUACAGAUUUCAUAUGGAGGGUGUUCCAACAACCCAAUGCAGAAGACAGAAAAGCUGUGGACAAGGUCAGCUUGUUCAUCGAUGACAUAGAUGGUGUUGCUGCUUAUGCUUCCAACAAUGAAAUCCAUGUCAGCGCAAAUUAUAUAGGAAAUUACUCUGGUGAUCUGAAAAGGGAAUAUACUGGUGUUCUUUACCAUGAAAUGACCCACAUCUGGCAAUGGAAUGGUAAUGGGCAAGCUCCAGGAGGGUUGAUUGAAGGUGUUGCUGAUUUUGUGAGGUUGAAGGCUAACUAUGCUCCUAGCCACUGGGUGCAGCCAGGACAGGGUGACAGGUGGGAUCAAGGGUAUGAUGUUACAGCUCGGUUUUUGGAUUAUUGUAAUGAUCUGAGAAAUGGGUUUGUGGCUGAACUUAACAAGAAGAUGAGAGAUGGUUAUAGUGAUCAGUACUUUGUUGAUCUGCUAGGGAAGACUGUUGAUCAGCUUUGGAGUGAUUAUAAGGCCAAAUAUGCACAAUAGGGCUGUUUAGAUUUGGAGAAAAUAAAACUUUCAAUUUCUAUUAGCAUGAAUCUAUGUAUUAAUCACUAAAUAAAGUUGUGAUAUCUUUCUACACUUUGUAAAAUUUUUAAUAAAAUAUAUUUUAUUUACUUAUGA
rnacentral:misc_RNA from 1 species